rnacentral:piRNA from 1 species
UCCAUUGGACGUGUUUGGGUCACCUCAGAGC